rnacentral:lncRNA from 1 species
UGAACGCUCCACAUCCAAGCCCGUCACCAGAAAUCGUAGAUUGGGAUGCUUGUGUGCCUCCAAUCCCAAAGCAAGCUGGCUACCAAGAAACCCACUUGCACCCACAAUCAAAACCCGAUAUUCUUUUUUCUUUCUCAUCUGGAAGAUCAGCCAACCAAGUAAAACAAGGACAAAGACACAAAGCAACACUGUGUUGGGA